rnacentral:tRNA from 1 species
GUCGUUGUAGUAUAGUGGUGAGUAUCCCCGCCUGUCACGCGGGAGACCGGGUUCGAUCCCCGGCAACGCG